rnacentral:rRNA from 1 species
AUGGUAACCUCAUCUUGGUAUCGUGAUACACCAUCAUUAUACACUCUUGCCAUUACAUUGAUAACCACCAUAGCCCAUGAUGAGGACAUCAAUACAAUUAUUACACCCACAGUCCCUGCUGCUAUACAUACUGGACCAAUUACUAGAGCUCGCGCACGCCAAUUAAAUUACCAGGUACUUUCGUUUCUUGCUAAUGAUUCUAAUGUUCAUGAGAAUAUGAUGCUGCCUAAAUUGGAUACAUUUGUUUUGCUUACAAAUGAAGGGCCUAGCUUUGAGAAGGAUGAACAUUGGAGCAAGAACAAGCAUGGAGAUGAUGGCAUGCGCAUGGGGAACAAGAACGGAGUUACAAGUGAUGAUUUCAGGACGUUGAAGCCACCAUAA